AAGACUACACUCGCAGGGAUCAUUUCUAUAGUUUGUUACUAGAGAAGUUUCUCUGAACUGGUGGAGAGCACCUGAAACCACAAGGAGAAGAUGGAGUGUUCUCCUGAGCUUGAAGUCGGUUCUUGGUGCUGCUUUGGUCACUGCCAUUUGCCAUUGAUGAUUGUUCUUCCCUCUCUCCCCCUAGGGGAUAAGAGGGAGAGAACACUGUCUCAGUGGU